rnacentral:rRNA from 1 species
AUGAGGUUGUGGUUAAUCAAGCUGCUGCUCCAAAUUGUCCUGUCUUGUCAUAAAUCAAGAGUUUCGACUCCAGUGCAUUCUAUAUCUGCGAAAGAAAAAUCUUUUCCUCUUUUUGUUGUAGGUGUGGUCCAGGGAAGCUGCUGGGAGGGACCGGCUGGUGGGUUCAUUGUUCUUUGUGUUUACUUGACAACCGGGUCUGACUUUCACAGCCCGACCCGUUUUGUGGGAAAGAGCAGUUUUAUUUUUGUUGGUUGUUUUGUACAAAUACAGAUGUCAUCAGGACAGUGGUCAGAAAAUUUGACUGAUAUCCAUUGGAAAUCAGUCAAAUGA